GGGUUGUGAGGUUAAGCGACUAAGCGUACACGGUGGAUGCCCUGGCAGUCAGAGGCGAUGAAGGACGUGCUAAUCUGCGAUAAGCGUCGGUAAGGUGAUAUGAACCGUUAUAACCGGCGAUUUCCGAAUGGGGAAACCCAGUGUGUUUCGACACACUAUCAUUAACUGAAUCCAUAGGUUAAUGAGGCGAACCGGGGGAACUGAAACAUCUAAGUACCCCGAGGAAAAGAAAUCAACCGAGAUUCCCCCAGUAGCGGCGAGCGAACGGGGAGGAGCCCAGAGCCUGAAUCAGUGUGUGUGUUAGUGGAAGCGUCUGGAAAGGCGCGCGAUACAGGGUGACAGCCCCGUACACAAAAAUGCACAUAUUGUGAGCUCGAUGAGUAGGGCGGGACACGUGGUAUCCUGUCUGAAUAUGGGGGGACCAUCCUCCAAGGCUAAAUACUCCUGACUGACCGAUAGUGAACCAGUACCGUGAGGGAAAGGCGAAAAGAACCCCGGCGAGGGGAGUGAAAAAGAACCUGAAACCGUGUACGUACAAGCAGUGGGAGCACGCUUCGGCGUGUGACUGCGUACCUUUUGUAUAAUGGGUCAGCGACUUAUAUUCUGUAGCAAGGUUAACCGAAUAGGGGAGCCGAAGGGAAACCGAGUCUUAACUGGGCGUUAAGUUGCAGGGUAUAGACCCGAAACCCGGUGAUCUAGCCAUGGGCAGGUUGAAGGUUGGGUAACACUAACUGGAGGACCGAACCGACUAAUGUUGAAAAAUUAGCGGAUGACUUGUGGCUGGGGGUGAAAGGCCAAUCAAACCGGGAGAUAGCUGGUUCUCCCCGAAAGCUAUUUAGGUAGCGCCUCGUGAAUUCAUCUCCGGGGGUAGAGCACUGUUUCGGCAAGGGGGUCAUCCCGACUUACCAACCCGAUGCAAACUGCGAAUACCGGAGAAUGUUAUCACGGGAGACACACGGCGGGUGCUAACGUCCGUCGUGAAGAGGGAAACAACCCAGACCGCCAGCUAAGGUCCCAAAGUCAUGGUUAAGUGGGAAACGAUGUGGGAAGGCCCAGACAGCCAGGAUGUUGGCUUAGAAGCAGCCAUCAUUUAAAGAAAGCGUAAUAGCUCACUGGUCGAGUCGGCCUGCGCGGAAGAUGUAACGGGGCUAAACCAUGCACCGAAGCUGCGGCAGCGACACUAUGUGUUGUUGGGUAGGGGAGCGUUCUGUAAGCCUGUGAAGGUGUACUGUGAGGUAUGCUGGAGGUAUCAGAAGUGCGAAUGCUGACAUAAGUAACGAUAAAGCGGGUGAAAAGCCCGCUCGCCGGAAGACCAAGGGUUCCUGUCCAACGUUAAUCGGGGCAGGGUGAGUCGACCCCUAAGGCGAGGCCGAAAGGCGUAGUCGAUGGGAAACAGGUUAAUAUUCCUGUACUUGGUGUUACUGCGAAGGGGGGACGGAGAAGGCUAUGUUGGCCGGGCGACGGUUGUCCCGGUUUAAGCGUGUAGGCUGGUUUUCCAGGCAAAUCCGGAAAAUCAAGGCUGAGGCGUGAUGACGAGGCACUACGGUGCUGAAGCAACAAAUGCCCUGCUUCCAGGAAAAGCCUCUAAGCAUCAGGUAACAUCAAAUCGUACCCCAAACCGACACAGGUGGUCAGGUAGAGAAUACCAAGGCGCUUGAGAGAACUCGGGUGAAGGAACUAGGCAAAAUGGUGCCGUAACUUCGGGAGAAGGCACGCUGAUAUGUAGGUGAAGUCCCUCGCGGAUGGAGCUGAAAUCAGUCGAAGAUACCAGCUGGCUGCAACUGUUUAUUAAAAACACAGCACUGUGCAAACACGAAAGUGGACGUAUACGGUGUGACGCCUGCCCGGUGCCGGAAGGUUAAUUGAUGGGGUCAGCGCAAGCGAAGCUCUUGAUCGAAGCCCCGGUAAACGGCGGCCGUAACUAUAACGGUCCUAAGGUAGCGAAAUUCCUUGUCGGGUAAGUUCCGACCUGCACGAAUGGCGUAAUGAUGGCCAGGCUGUCUCCACCCGAGACUCAGUGAAAUUGAACUCGCUGUGAAGAUGCAGUGUACCCGCGGCAAGACGGAAAGACCCCGUGAACCUUUACUAUAGCUUGACACUGAACAUUGAGCCUUGAUGUGUAGGAUAGGUGGGAGGCUUUGAAGUGUGGACGCCAGUCUGCAUGGAGCCGACCUUGAAAUACCACCCUUUAAUGUUUGAUGUUCUAACGUGGACCCGUAAUCCGGGUUGCGGACAGUGUCUGGUGGGUAGUUUGACUGGGGCGGUCUCCUCCUAAAGAGUAACGGAGGAGCACGAAGGUUGGCUAAUCCUGGUCGGACAUCAGGAGGUUAGUGCAAUGGCAUAAGCCAGCUUGACUGCGAGCGUGACGGCGCGAGCAGGUGCGAAAGCAGGUCAUAGUGAUCCGGUGGUUCUGAAUGGAAGGGCCAUCGCUCAACGGAUAAAAGGUACUCCGGGGAUAACAGGCUGAUACCGCCCAAGAGUUCAUAUCGACGGCGGUGUUUGGCACCUCGAUGUCGGCUCAUCACAUCCUGGGGCUGAAGUAGGUCCCAAGGGUAUGGCUGUUCGCCAUUUAAAGUGGUACGCGAGCUGGGUUUAGAACGUCGUGAGACAGUUCGGUCCCUAUCUGCCGUGGGCGCUGGAGAACUGAGGGGGGCUGCUCCUAGUACGAGAGGACCGGAGUGGACGCAUCACUGGUGUUCGGGUUGUCAUGCCAAUGGCACUGCCCGGUAGCUAAAUGCGGAAGAGAUAAGUGCUGAAAGCAUCUAAGCACGAAACUUGCCCCGAGAUGAGUUCUCCCUGACUCCUUGAGAGUCCUGAAGGAACGUUGAAGACGACGACGUUGAUAGGCCGGGUGUGUAAGCGCAGCGAUGCGUUGAGCUAACCGGUACUAAUGAACCGUGAGGCUUAACCUUACAACGCCGAAGGUGUUU
rnacentral:rRNA from 1 species